AUUGAACGCUGGCGGAAUGCUUUACACAUGCAAGUCGAACGGCAGCACGGACUUCGGUCUGGUGGCGAGUGGCGAACGGGUGAGUAAUACAUCGGAACGUGCCCAAUCGUGGGGGAUAACGUAGCGAAAGCUACGCUAAUACCGCAUACGAUCUAAGGAUGAAAGCGGGGGAUCGCAAGACCUCGCGCGACUGGAGCGGCCGAUGGCAGAUUAGGUAGUUGGUAGGGUAAAGGCUUACACAGCCGACGAUCUGUAGCUGGUCUGAGAGGAUGAUCAGCCACACUGGGCCUGAGACACGGCCCAGACUCCUACGGGAGGCAGCAGUGGGGAAUUUUGGACAAUGGACGCAAGUCUGAUCCAGCCAUUCCGCGUGCAGGAUGAAGGCCCUCGGGUUGUAAACUGCUUUUGUACAGAACGAAAAGGCUCUGGUUAAUACCUGGGGCUCAUGACGGUACUGUAAGAAUAAGCACCGGCUAACUACGUGCCAGCCGCCGCGGUAAUAC
rnacentral:rRNA from 1 species